rnacentral:rRNA from 1 species
GGUUAAGCGACUAAGCGUACACGGUGGAUGCCCUGGCAGUCAGAGGCGAUGAAGGACGUGCUAAUCUGCGAUAAGCGUCGGUAAGGUGAUAUGAACCGUUAUAACCGGCGAUUUCCGAAUGGGGAAACCCAGUGUGUUUCGACACACUAUCAUUAACUGAAUCCAUAGGUUAAUGAGGCGAACCGGGGGAACUGAAACAUCUAAGUACCCCGAGGAAAAGAAAUCAACCGAGAUUCCCCCAGUAGCGGCGAGCGAACGGGGAGCAGCCCAGAGCCUGAAUCAGUGUGUGUGUUAGUGGAAGCGUCUGGAAAGGCGCGCGAUACAGGGUGACAGCCCCGUACACAAAAAUGCACAUGCUGUGAGCUCGAUGAGUAGGGCGGGACACGUGGUAUCCUGUCUGAAUAUGGGGGGACCAUCCUCCAAGGCUAAAUACUCCUGACUGACCGAUAGUGAACCAGUACCGUGAGGGAAAGGCGAAAAGAACCCCGGCGAGGGGAGUGAAAAAGAACCUGAAACCGUGUACGUACAAGCAGUGGGAGCACGCUUAGGCGUGUGACUGCGUACCUUUUGUAUAAUGGGUCAGCGACUUAUAUUCUGUAGCAAGGUUAACCGAAUAGGGGAGCCGAAGGGAAACCGAGUCUUAACUGGGCGUUAAGUUGCAGGGUAUAGACCCGAAACCCGGUGAUCUAGCCAUGGGCAGGUUGAAGGUUGGGUAACACUAACUGGAGGACCGAACCGACUAAUGUUGAAAAAUUAGCGGAUGACUUGUGGCUGGGGGUGAAAGGCCAAUCAAACCGGGAGAUAGCUGGUUCUCCCCGAAAGCUAUUUAGGUAGCGCCUCGUGAAUUCAUCUCCGGGGGUAGAGCACUGUUUCGGCAAGGGGGUCAUCCCGACUUACCAACCCGAUGCAAACUGCGAAUACCGGAGAAUGUUAUCACGGGAGACACACGGCGGGUGCUAACGUCCGUCGUGAAGAGGGAAACAACCCAGACCGCCAGCUAAGGUCCCAAAGUCAUGGUUAAGUGGGAAACGAUGUGGGAAGGCCCAGACAGCCAGGAUGUUGGCUUAGAAGCAGCCAUCAUUUAAAGAAAGCGUAAUAGCUCACUGGUCGAGUCGGCCUGCGCGGAAGAUGUAACGGGGCUAAACCAUGCACCGAAGCUGCGGCAGCGACGCUGAUGCGUUGUUGGGUAGGGGAGCGUUCUGUAAGCCUGCGAAGGUGUGCUGUGAGGCAUGCUGGAGGUAUCAGAAGUGCGAAUGCUGACAUAAGUAACGAUAAAGCGGGUGAAAAGCCCGCUCGCCGGAAGACCAAGGGUUCCUGUCCAACGUUAAUCGGGGCAGGGUGAGUCGACCCCUAAGGCGAGGCCGAAAGGCGUAGUCGAUGGGAAACAGGUUAAUAUUCCUGUACUUGGUGUUACUGCGAAGGGGGGACGGAGAAGGCUAUGUUGGCCGGGCGACGGUUGUCCCGGUUUAAGCGUGUAGGCUGGUUUUCCAGGCAAAUCCGGAAAAUCAAGGCUGAGGCGUGAUGACGAGGCACUACGGUGCUGAAGCAACAAAUGCCCUGCUUCCAGGAAAAGCCUCUAAGCAUCAGGUAACAUCAAAUCGUACCCCAAACCGACACAGGUGGUCAGGUAGAGAAUACCAAGGCGCUUGAGAGAACUCGGGUGAAGGAACUAGGCAAAAUGGUGCCGUAACUUCGGGAGAAGGCACGCUGAUAUGUAGGUGAAGUCCCUUGCGGAUGGAGCUGAAAUCAGUCGAAGAUACCAGCUGGCUGCAACUGUUUAUUAAAAACACAGCACUGUGCAAACACGAAAGUGGACGUAUACGGUGUGACGCCUGCCCGGUGCCGGAAGGUUAAUUGAUGGGGUUAGCGCAAGCGAAGCUCUUGAUCGAAGCCCCGGUAAACGGCGGCCGUAACUAUAACGGUCCUAAGGUAGCGAAAUUCCUUGUCGGGUAAGUUCCGACCUGCACGAAUGGCGUAAUGAUGGCCAGGCUGUCUCCACCCGAGACUCAGUGAAAUUGAACUCGCUGUGAAGAUGCAGUGUACCCGCGGCAAGACGGAAAGACCCCGUGAACCUUUACUAUAGCUUGACACUGAACAUUGAGCCUUGAUGUGUAGGAUAGGUGGGAGGCUUUGAAGUGUGGACGCCAGUCUGCAUGGAGCCGACCUUGAAAUACCACCCUUUAAUGUUUGAUGUUCUAACGUUGACCCGUAAUCCGGGUUGCGGACAGUGUCUGGUGGGUAGUUUGACUGGGGCGGUCUCCUCCUAAAGAGUAACGGAGGAGCACGAAGGUUGGCUAAUCCUGGUCGGACAUCAGGAGGUUAGUGCAAUGGCAUAAGCCAGCUUGACUGCGAGCGUGACGGCGCGAGCAGGUGCGAAAGCAGGUCAUAGUGAUCCGGUGGUUCUGAAUGGAAGGGCCAUCGCUCAACGGAUAAAAGGUACUCCGGGGAUAACAGGCUGAUACCGCCCAAGAGUUCAUAUCGACGGCGGUGUUUGGCACCUCGAUGUCGGCUCAUCACAUCCUGGGGCUGAAGUAGGUCCCAAGGGUAUGGCUGUUCGCCAUUUAAAGUGGUACGCGAGCUGGGUUUAGAACGUCGUGAGACAGUUCGGUCCCUAUCUGCCGUGGGCGCUGGAGAACUGAGGGGGGCUGCUCCUAGUACGAGAGGACCGGAGUGGACGCAUCACUGGUGUUCGGGUUGUCAUGCCAAUGGCACUGCCCGGUAGCUAAAUGCGGAAGAGAUAAGUGCUGAAAGCAUCUAAGCACGAAACUUGCCCCGAGAUGAGUUCUCCCUGACUCCUUGAGAGUCCUGAAGGAACGUUGAAGACGACGACGUUGAUAGGCCGGGUGUGUAAGCGCAGCGAUGCGUUGAGCUAACCGGUACUAAUGAACCGUGAGGCUUAACCUU